rnacentral:rRNA from 1 species
GACGAACGCUGGCGGCGUGCCUAAUACAUGCAAGUAGAACGCUGAAACUUGGUGCUUGCACCGAGCGGAUGAGUUGCGAACGGGUGAGUAACGCGUAGGUAACCUGCCUGGUAGCGGGGGAUAACUAUUGGAAACGAUAGCUAAUACCGCAUAAGAGUAGAUGUUGCAUGACAUUUGCUUAAAAGGUGCAAUUGCACCACUACCAGAUGGACCUGCGUUGUAUUAGCUAGUUGGUGGGGAAACGGCUCACCAAGGCGACGAUACAUAGCCGACCUGAGAGGGUGAUCGGCCACACUGGGACUGAGACACGGCCCAGACUCCUACGGGAGGCAGCAGUAGGGAAUCUUCGGCAAUGGACGGAAGUCUGACCGAGCAACGCCGCGUGAGUGAAGAAGGUUUUCGGAUCGUAAAGCUCUGUUGUAAGAGAAGAACGAGUGUGAGAGUGGAAAGUUCACACUGUGACGGUAUCUUACCAGAAAGGGACGGCUAACUACGUG